rnacentral:rRNA from 1 species
GAUCAUGGCUCAGGACGAACGCUAGCGACAGGCUUAACACAUGCAAGUCGAGGGGCAGCAUGAUUUGUAGCAAUACAGAUUGAUGGCGACCGGCGCACGGGUGAGUAACGCGUAUGCAACUUACCUAUCGAGAGGGGGAUAGCCCGGCGAAAGUCGGAUUAAUACCCCAUAAAACAGGGGUCCCGCAUGGGAAUAUUUGUUAAAGAUUCAUCGCUGAUAGAUAGGCAUGCGUU